rnacentral:rRNA from 2 species
UACGGAGGGUGCAAGCGUUAAUCGGAAUUACUGGGCGUAAAGCGCACGCAGGCGGUUGGAUAAGUUAGAUGUGAAAGCCCCGGGCUCAACCUGGGAAUUGCAUUUAAAACUGUCCAGCUAGAGUCUUGUAGAGGGGGGUAGAAUUCCAGGUGUAGCGGUGAAAUGCGUAGAGAUCUGGAGGAAUACCGGUGGCGAAGGCGGCCCCCUGGACAAAGACUGACGCUCAGGUGCGAAAGCGUGGGGAG